rnacentral:rRNA from 2 species
CAGUCGAACGAUGAUGCCCAGCUUGCUGGGUGGAUUAGUGGCGAACGGGUGAGUAACACGUGAGUAACCUGCCCCUGACUCUGGGAUAAGCGUUGGAAACGACGUCUAAUACUGGAUAUGACUGCCGGCCGCAUGGUCUGGUGGUGGAAAGAUUUUUUGGUUGGGGAUGGACUCGCGGCCUAUCAGCUUGUUGGUGAGGUAAUGGCUCACCAAGGCGACGACGGGUAGCCGGCCUGAGAGGGUGACCGGCCACACUGGGACUGAGACACGGCCCAGACUCCUACGGGAGGCAGCAGUGGGGAAUAUUGCACAAUGGGCGAAAGCCUGAUGCAGCAACGCCGCGUGAGGGAUGACGGCCUUCGGGUUGUAAACCUCUUUUAGUAGGGAAGAAGCGAAAGUGACGGUACCUGCAGAAAAAGCACCGGCUAACUACGUGCCAGCAGCCGCGGUAAUACGUAGGGUGCAAGCGUUGUCCGGAAUUAUUGGGCGUAAAGAGCUCGUAGGCGGUUUGUCGCGUCUGCUGUGAAAUCCCGAGGCUCAACCUCGGGCUUGCAGUGGGUACGGGCAGACUAGAGUGCGGUAGGGGAGAUUGGAAUUCCUGGUGUAGCGGUGGAAUGCGCAGAUAUCAGGAGGAACACCGAUGGCGAAGGCAGAUCUCUGGGCCGUAACUGACGCUGAGGAGCGAAAGCAUGGGGAGCGAACAGGAUUAGAUACCCUGGUAGUCCAUGCCGUAAACGUUGGGCGCUAGAUGUAGGGACCUUUCCACGGUUUCUGUGUCGUAGCUAACGCAUUAAGCGCCCCGCCUGGGGAGUACGGCCGCAAGGCUAAAACUCAAAGGAAUUGACGGGGGCCCGCACAAGCGGCGGAGCAUGCGGAUUAAUUCGAUGCAACGCGAAGAACCUUACCAAGGCUUGACAUACACCGGAAACGGCCAGAGAUGGUCGCCCCCUUGUGGUCGGUGUACAGGUGGUGCAUGGUUGUCGUCAGCUCGUGUCGUGAGAUGUUGGGUUAAGUCCCGCAACGAGCGCAACCCUCGUUCUAUGUUGCCAGCGCGUUAUGGCGGGGACUCAUAGGAGACUGCCGGGGUCAACUCGGAGGAAGGUGGGGAUGACGUCAAAUCAUCAUGCCCCUUAUGUCUUGGGCUUCACGCAUGCUACAAUGGCCGGUACAAAGGGCUGCGAUACCGUAAGGUGGAGCGAAUCCCAAAAAGCCGGUCUCAGUUCGGAUUGAGGUCUGCAACUCGACCUCAUGAAGUCGGAGUCGCUAGUAAUCGCAGAUCAGCAACGCUGCGGUGAAUACGUUCCCGGGCCUUGUACACACCGCCCGUCAAGUCAUGAAAGUCGGUAACACCCGAAGCCGGUGGCCUAAC